CAAUGCUAUCACAAGUAUAUGAGAACUUCCCUGCAAGCAGCAGCAGAGGCGAUUGGGAAGAGAGACUGGGGAACAAGUGGACCGCAUGAUUGUGGCCAGUAUAAUCAAUUUCCCGAGGAUACUGGAUUUUUCUGUAGGGAUGGAACAUGGAGCAGCGAGUAUGCACAGUUCUUUCUCGAGUGGUAUUCAGGAAAGCUAUUAGAGCAUGGUGAUAGAAUCC